rnacentral:rRNA from 1 species
AGCCCACGGCUCAACCGUGGAGGGUCAUUGGAAACUGGGAGACUGGAGUGCAGAAGAGGAAAGUGGAAUUCCAUGUGUAGCGGUGAAAUGCGUAGAGAUAUGGAGGAACACCAGUGGCGAAGGCGACUUUCUGGUCUGUAACUGACACUGAGGCGCGAAAGCGUGGGGAGCAAACAGGAUUAGAUACCCUGGUAGUCCACGCCGUAAACGAUGAGUGCUAAGUGUUAGAGGG